rnacentral:rRNA from 1 species
UACGGAGGGUGCAAGCGUUAUCCGGAUUCACUGGGGUAAAAGGUGCGUAGGCGGGCAGGGAAGGUCGUGGUGAAAAUCUCUGAGCUUAACUCAGAAACUGCCAUGGAUACUAUUUGUCUUGAAUAUUGUGGAGGUGAGCGGAAUAUGUCAUGUAGCGGUGAAAUGCUUAGAUAUGACAUAGAACACCCAUUGCGAAGGCAGCUCACUACACAAUGAUUGACGCUGAGGCACGAAAGCGUGGGGAUCAAACAGG